rnacentral:rRNA from 1 species
CAUCUAAGUACCCCGAGGAAAAGAAAUCAACCGAGAUUCCCCCAGUAGCGGCGAGCGAACGGGGAGCAGCCCAGAGCCUGAAUCAGUGUGUGUGUUAGUGGAAGCGUCUGGAAAGGCGCGUGAUACAGGGUGACAGCCCCGUACACAAAAAUGCACAUGCUGUGAGCUCGAUGAGUAGGGCGGGACACGUGGUAUCCUGUCUGAAUAUGGGGGGACCAUCCUCCAAGGCUAAAUACUCCUGACUGACCGAUAGUGAACCAGUACCGUGAGGGAAAGGCGAAAAGAACCCCGGCGAGGGGAGUGAAAAAGAACCUGAAACCGUGUACGUACAAGCAGUGGGAGCACGCUUAGGCGUGUGACUGCGUACCUUUUGUAUAAUGGGUCAGCGACUUAUAUUCUGUAGCAAGGUUAACCGAAUAGGGGAGCCGAAGGGAAACCGAGUCUUAACUGGGCGUUAAGUUGCAGGGUAUAGACCCGAAACCCGGUGAUCUAGCCAUGGGCAGGUUGAAGGUUGGGUAACACUAACUGGAGGACCGAACCGACUAAUGUUGAAAAAUUAGCGGAUGACUUGUGGCUGGGGGUGAAAGGCCAAUCAAACCGGGAGAUAGCUGGUUCUCCCCGAAAGCUAUUUAGGUAGCGCCUCGUGAAUUCAUCUCCGGGGGUAGAGCACUGUUUCGGCAAGGGGGUCAUCCCGACUUACCAACCCGAUGCAAACUGCGAAUACCGGAGAAUGUUAUCACGGGAGACACACGGCGGGUGCUAACGUCCGUCGUGAAGAGGGAAACAACCCAGACCGCCAGCUAAGGUCCCAAAGUCAUGGUUAAGUGGGAAACGAUGUGGGAAGGCCCAGACAGCCAGGAUGUUGGCUUAGAAGCAGCCAUCAUUUAAAGAAAGCGUAAUAGCUCACUGGUCGAGUCGGCCUGCGCGGAAGAUGUAACGGGGCUAAACCAUGCACCGAAGCUGCGGCAGCGACGCUUAUGCGUUGUUGGGUAGGGGAGCGUUCUGUAAGCCUGUGAAGGUGUACUGUGAGGUAUGCUGGAGGUAUCAGAAGUGCGAAUGCUGACAUAAGUAACGAUAAAGCGGGUGAAAAGCCCGCUCGCCGGAAGACCAAGGGUUCCUGUCCAACGUUAAUCGGGGCAGGGUGAGUCGACCCCUAAGGCGAGGCCGAAAGGCGUAGUCGAUGGGAAACAGGUUAAUAUUCCUGUACUUGGUGUUACUGCGAAGGGGGGACGGAGAAGGCUAUGUUGGCCGGGCGACGGUUGUCCCGGUUUAAGCGUGUAGGCUGGUUUUCCAGGCAAAUCCGGAAAAUCAAGGCUGAGGCGUGAUGACGAGGCACUACGGUGCUGAAGCAACAAAUGCCCUGCUUCCAGGAAAAGCCUCUAAGCAUCAGGUAACAUCAAAUCGUACCCCAAACCGACACAGGUGGUCAGGUAGAGAAUACCAAGGCGCUUGAGAGAACUCGGGUGAAGGAACUAGGCAAAAUGGUGCCGUAACUUCGGGAGAAGGCACGCUGAUAUGUAGGUGAAGUCCCUCGCGGAUGGAGCUGAAAUCAGUCGAAGAUACCAGCUGGCUGCAACUGUUUAUUAAAAACACAGCACUGUGCAAACACGAAAGUGGACGUAUACGGUGUGACGCCUGCCCGGUGC